GACCAGCGGAGGGAUCAUUACCGAGUUUACAACUCCCAAACCCCUGUGAACAUACCUUAAUGUUGCCUCGGCGGAUCAGCCCGCGCCCCGUAAAACGGGACGGCCCGCCAGAGGACCCAAACUCUAAUGUUUCUUAUUGUAACUUCUGAGUAAAACAAACAAAUAAAUCAAAACUUUCAACAACGGAUCUCUUGGUUCUGGCAUCGAUGAAGAACGCAGCAAAAUGCGAUAAGUAAUGUGAAUUGCAGAAUUCAGUGAAUCAUCGAAUCUUUGAACGCACAUUGCGCCCGCUGGUAUUCCGGCGGGCAUGCCUGUUCGAGCGUCAUUUCAACCCUCAAGCCCCCGGGUUUGGUGUUGGGGAUCGGCUCUGCCCUUCUGGGCGGUGCCGCCCCCGAAAUACAUUGGCGGUCUCGCUGCAGCCUCCAUUGCGUAGUAGCUAACACCUCGCAACUGGAACGCGGCGCGGCCAUGCCGUAAAACCCCAACUUCUGAAUGUUGACCUCGGAUCAGGUAGGAAUACCCGCUGAACUUAAGCAUAUCAAUAAGCGGAGGAAAAGAAACCAACAGGGAUUGCCCUAGUAACGGCGAGUGAAGCGGCAACAGCUCAAAUUUGAAAUCUGGCUUUCGGGCCCGAGUUGUAAUUUGUAGAGGAUACUUUUGAUGCGGUGCCUUCCGAGUUCCCUGGAACGGGACGCCAUAGAGGGUGAGAGCCCCGUCUGGUUGGAUGCCAAAUCUCUGUAAAGUUCCUUCGACGAGUCGAGUAGUUUGGGAAUGCUGCUCUAAAUGGGAGGUAUAUGUCUUCUAAAGCUAAAUAUUGGCCAGAGACCGAUAGCGCACAAGUAGAGUGAUCGAAAGAUGAAAAGCACUUUGAAAAGAGAGUUAAAAAGUACGUGAAAUUGUUGAAAGGGAAGCGUUUAUGACCAGACUUGGACUUGGUUAAUCAUCUGGGGUUCUCCCCAGUGCACUUUUCCAGUUCAGGCCAGCAUCAGUUUUCGCCGGGGGAUAAAGGCUUCGGGAAUGUAGCUCUCUUCGGGGAGUGUUAUAGCCCGUUGUGUAAUACCCUGGCGGAGACUGAGGUUCGC
rnacentral:rRNA from 1 species